rnacentral:rRNA from 1 species
GACGAACGCUGGCGGCGUGCCUAAUACAUGCAAGUCGAACGCUUUUUCUUUCACCGGAGCUUGCUCCACCGAAAGAAAAAGAGUGGCGAACGGGUGAGUAACACGUGGGUAACCUGCCCAUCAGAAGGGGAUAACACUUGGAAACAGGUGCUAAUACCGUAUAACACUAUUUUCCGCAUGGAAGAAAGUUGAAAGGCGCUUUUGCGUCACUGAUGGAUGGACCCGCGGUGCAUUAGCUAGUUGGUGAGGUAACGGCUCACCAAGGCAACGAUGCAUAGCCGACCUGAGAGGGUGAUCGGCCACACUGGGACUGAGACACGGCCCAGACUCCUACGGGAGGCAGCAGUAGGGAAUCUUCGGCAAUGGACGAAAGUCUGACCGAGCAACGCCGCGUGAGUGAAGAAGGUUUUCGGAUCGUAAAACCCUGUUGUUAGAGAAGAACAAGGAUGAGAGUAGAACGUUCAUCCCUGACGUAUCUACCAGA